UACGAAGGGUGCAAGCGUUACUCGGAAUUACUGGGCGUAAAGCGUGCGUAGGUGGUUCGUUAAGUCUGAUGUGAAAGCCCUGGGCUCAACCUGGGAAUGGCAUUGGAUACUGGCGACCUAGAGUGCGGUAGAGGGGUGUGGAAUUCCUGGUGUAGCGGUGAAAUGCGCAGAUAUCAGGAAGAACACCCGUGGCGAAGGCGGCUCUCUGGGACGGUACUGACGCUGAGACGCGAAAGCGUGGGGAGCGAACAGG
rnacentral:rRNA from 1 species